GUUCUCUCCCUCUUCACACGCCCCCACACUUCCUGCUCUUUCCUGGGCCUGGAAGCGGAAGUACUGAAACACCGAGACAGACUGUUCUUACGGUUUUUAGAGGCUGGCUGAAACCAGGAAGGCCUGGAAAUCGGAAGGCCAGCUAUCUCUGGGACCCAAGAGCUGGGCCUCAAGACCCUUGAGCACAUUUCCAACCCUCCUCUGGGCUGGUUGGACUCAGCAAGAUCAGUCAAGGACUUGCUCCUAGCAGCUCUUUCUUUGUGCAUUGACAGGGCAGUUACCCGUUCUUUUGGCUUCAUUUUCCAUUUAUAACCGGAAGGGUGGGUCUUUAGUGGAGACACUGCUAAUGCUUGUUUCCUGAUUAUAGAGUCGUGUACCUGCUGAUUCAUUCAUUCAAGCAUACUUCUCGAUUAUCAGAUGUCCUCCAUGAAGAGCCUUCCUAGAGCUUACAUGCCAAUGGAGGAAACCAAGGAAACAAAACGAAUAAAGCCUGUGUUAUGUAAGAGGGCCGAAUUACUAUGGAGAAGCCUGGAGGAGGGUGUAAGGAGUGUUUGGUUGGGGAUAGUGCAAUUGUAAGUUGGGUUAUGAGGGCAGGCUCAAAAAGAAGGUAAUAUUUGAGUUGUGGGAGGAAGCCACAUGAAUAUGAACUGAGAGGAUUCCAGACAGAGAAAAUGGCACGUGCAAAUGCCCUGAGGCUAGAAGCCGCCUGGUGUGCCCCGGCCACAGCCAGGCCACCAGGGUGACUGGAGCCAAGUCAGCAAGGGGAAGAGUGGAAGGACAUAUAGUCAGAGAGGAAAUGGGGUCAGAGGGUGUCAGGAGGGCCUUGAGAACAGGGGAAGUCUUUAGGUUUUCUGUAAGAAGGGGAGCCUCUGGAAGGUUCUGAGCAGAAAAGGGACAUGGUCUGAUAGACUAAUGUUGAAUUAGCUACUUUUGCAAAAGCACUGCCACUUCCUACUGACUGGCCUGAGCCUGAGGAGCCAGGGGUCAUGGAUCUGAAACCCGAGUGAGCCUCCUGACUGCAUGACGAGGCAUCGCCCGCACUGGAGUGGAGGCCAGGGAGCCUCCGAGAGUUGGGGGGACCUUCUCGGACUGGUAGCCAUACCGCUAGGAAGCAGAUGAGAUUGGGCUCUGGGCCUCACUCUUGGCCAAGGCCCCGCGGCCUCGUCACACGCUCGGAGUCUUCUGAGUGACAGCCGCGCUGGUGGCUGGGACGUGUGCGCUCAGAGCAGUGCGAUUUAUAAGACAGCUGCUCCAUGCAUCAUUAUUCGGGUGCAUGAGGGAGCAAAUGCCCCCCGAGGGGUGAUGAGAACCUCUUCUUUCUCUACGGACCACACGCAUUUUUACUUUCACUCGCGUUUUCUCAGUGGGUCAACCACGUCACUUCUUCGACGGGUCGUCCACAGUGUUUGCUGGUUAUUGGUGCCAACUCCACCGUUACUUGCUUUUGAAAAAAAAAAAAACCUGACCCACUCUUCUCACCGAGGCUUGUCUUAAACCAUAACCUCCUGGAAAAUACCCACAUUUGAAUUUAUAAGUUGCGUUUUGGUUCACUCCUGACUCUCCCUGUUCCUCAAACGUCUGUGAAAGGGGUGAUGUUGGUCUUCCCUCCCCUCCGGCCUGUGGCUGCAGCUGGGACCCUUGCAGGCCGACCUGUGGAGGCUCGUGCUUCCUCUGCAGCCCCCCGCUCUGGGAAGCUCCCCGCGGCUCGGACCCCGCACCCCUACCACCGCCUGGAAGCCCCUCCCGGGACACUGGGCGAGACAGAGACUUCGUCACCCUACUCAGGCCUUUGGGACUUGGCACGAGAGCGUGUGCCUGAGAAUCCCUCAGGUACCUUCCAGAAGAAACCGCUCUGAAGCGAUAUCUCGGGCAGGACAUGGGGCCUGGGUGGUGACACUCCAAGGACACAGAGGCAGCUCCACGUUCCCUCCUUUCUCUCAACCCCUGCCUUUUCCUCACGAGGCAACAGAGCGCUCGGACUAUUGAAUCGUCGUGGUCCCCAGUCAGGACCAUCUCACGUCAGAUCUGGACGGAGACGAAGGCAGAUACUUAUUCGUUCGUUGGAGGUAGUUUGUGGCAGUGUCGUCAGCCCCUCCCUGACUGAACCCUGUGUUCUUCUGGAACGGCCACACGGCGGGAGAGGCCGCCCGGUAGAAGAGGUGAGGGCUGUCCACACACUUUCUUCCCUGCACCCCGAACACCAGGGGAGAAAGGCAGGGAGGACGGCAGGCGAGCCGGAGGCCACGGGCCUUGACAGGAGCAGCAUUCCCGACUUCGUGUCCAGAAAGCGGAGUUCAAAUCCCAGCCUUGCCAAAGCGAGUUCUUGGGAUCCCGAGCCAUUGACCUGACCCUCCUGUGAGUCAGCUUUCUCCCUCGUAAGAGGGGAGGGGGUUCCCGUUUCUUGACCCUGCUGCCCACGUGGAUGCAGCGGGGGGAAGACCUCUCAGCGCAGCGUCGGGCACACCCCGGGCACUCAGCCAUUCUGCGGCCCUCCUCCCUUCUGCGAGGGGUCUCUGCCUCCUCUGUACCAAGUGAUUCUGGCAGCGUUGUCUCCGUUCGAACUGCUGAGGCCUUCCAGUGAGACAAAGCAGGCCCGUAGGGAGUGAGCUCAAAAGCUCUGGGAAGCUGUGGUCGGAGUGGGCUGCCCUGUGGAGCUUAAAUCCUGAUGCUAUGUUUAGAAGGGGGUUCCAAGCCCUGGAGAGGCUGCUCCGGGGUGCCUUUCUGCUUGGAGAGUCUGUGAUUUGGUGGCCUUUGAUCUCACAUCAUAGGUAGGGUACACAUAUAAUUUAUUGUCCAGACUAGGAAACGUUUGAGAAUGAAAGAGGCUGCCAUUAAAAAUUACAACGAGAGAGCAGGUGUAAACCAGGACUGUUUCAGGCAAGUGGGGUGGAUCUUUACCUGACUCACAUUUUGGCCCCAGGCUCUGUGUGAGUUUUCAGCCUUCAUGCUCACCUGGUUUCUAUGCAUUUGAAUCAUGUCAGUUUUUUUCCUCUUCAGCCGGCAACUUCGUUUUGCAGGCAAGGACUUUCUGGAAAGAAGGUUAAAGGCCCUUGGCACAGGGUGCAUGUAAAUAACAUGUCAGAUGGACAUAAAGAGACAUAUGAAAGCCAGAGGGCGAGCCGAUGCAGGAUCCAGAAAGUCCUUCAGCUCCCCCACCACCCGUCCCCCUCAUGCCUGCCCCAGCAGGCAGGCCUGCAGCCUCCUGGCGACCAGCUGUGGAGGGAAGGGACAGGCUGGGGGAAGGGCAGCCAGAUGCGGCCCGCAGAAAACCUAGACCAAAUUUCGUGCUCUCAGUGGCUGGCUCUGAUGUUCCAGACCCACAGGGGUGAAGAGGAAAGGGAGCACUUCAUCCCCGCAUUCUGCAGAGAACCAUCAGGGCCGUCACUUGGAAACUGAGGACAGCGUACCUAUUACAUCCACUGUCCAGGGUCACUCAGGAUAAAACAAUGUAAUGGACAUGGUGUAGCUUACAGACUGCAAAUGCCAGGUGGCAUCCUAAUUGGAGAUCUUCAAUUCGAACUCCUGAAUUUACAGAUGAAGAUCUACAGAUGGCCUCCCUGGAGGUCAACAGACUGGCCCGGUGUGGGUGACUCCCUUUACAGAGAGAGAUGUUGACAGCUUGUGUGUGAUGGGGGAGUGGGUGGCCGAGAGGGUAAAAUCUAAGAAACAGAGACAACCGGGGACAAAUCGAGGAGGCAAAAACAUUUUCAGGGACCUUGAUUUAAAUCUCUGCUAGAUGAAGUGAGAAAAAUGAUUCUGUGGUUAUUUUUUAAGGGAGUGGGAUCUUUUCACAUCUUUUCUUCCUCACCAUCGACUGGAGUUGAUCUCAUCCGAGGUUUCGAGGUGAGAGCUGAUGAGGCUAGCUACCCAGCUAUGCCAUUCUCUUAAUAAAGAUGCUCCUUUGGCCUGACUGCUCCACUCAGACACUAACACAGUGGCCAGGUUGGAAAAGAAUAUGCAGGCCAGAGCAGAUCUGUGUGAAGCAGGAGAAGGUCAAGGCAGCUUUAGCAGAUCAAUGAAGGGCACGGCCUCCAGAGCUGGGCGGCCUGGAGAAAAAUCCCAGUUUCGCUGCUCACAGCUGUGCUGCCUUGGGCGAGUUCUCCAAUCUUUCCGUACCUUCGCUUUCUCCUCUGCAGAAUGACAAUAUGAACUGUACCCUCAUCACAGCAUGAUGUGAGGCUCAAGCGGGUUAAUACAUUGAAGAUGUUUGGAAAGGUACUUGGCGCGCAUUUAACUCUCUUCACUUGUUUCUUAAAUAAAAAUAAAAUGCAUAAGGGUGUCAAAGGUGGACAUGGGUGAGAGGCAGUAGUGAGGAGUAGUAGGAAGGAUGCUGGAUUUGUCAUCGGACAGACUUGCAUUCGGAUCCUGAUUCCACAACCUUUUUUGAUCCACGUUUGUAUUUUUCUGGUUAUUAGGGGCAUAUGUGUUUAUAGCAGAAAAUUUAGAAAAUCCAGAAAGCCAGCAGGAAGUAAAUAAAGACCACCCCAAUUCCAGCACCUGGAGGUGGUCACCAGGGAAGGACGGUUGGCAAUGAGAACCGCCUCCGGGUUUGGUCCUGAUGCUGGGGGCUUGUAGGUUUUCACGAUUCCUCCUCUGUUUGCAUAUCCCUCAGGGAGAGAUCCAGGGACUGCCUGAGGGCAAGGGCCUGUGAAUGCCUACUAAAUAAAACAUUUUUUUUGACAAUGAUGAGACCCUUAAUAGGCACCUCGGAGCCCUCAAUCUAUAUACUUUUUACAGUUCUCGGUUCCCAACUGUGAGGAGCUCAGUCUUCCAGCGAGACAGCAUGCCAAGCGUUUAGAUUGAAACUCAUAAAUUUCUUCUUCCAACUUCCCUGCUGUCAUUACUUGGCCGCCCACAUUAUUGUUGCCAACUGCCAAGUGUGGCUGUGAGUGACAGGUAGAUUCUUUGUGCCUGAUGUGGGUCACGCUUGCGCUUGGUCUGAGCGCUUUUGUUUAAUGCUCCACAAGGAGGCCAGAGCCAAGGAGCAGAGCAGGAGUAACAGGAGAAGUCUGCUGGGUGAUGAUUUGGCAGCUCAAGGAAAGUUGUAAAUUAGGCUGUCAGAAGGGAACUUUCUGGCAAACUCAGUGAACAAACACAAGGUGUGAGGUGGCCAGUACUUGUAAUAAGCUAACUUUCUCUCUCUCACUGGUGGUUUCCUCUUGUUGGUCUUUUGGUGAAGUGGUUAGACGUGUUAACUAUCACCCAAACAGAAUCUGAAAGGCUUUGGGGUUGGGGGGCACGGGGGUGGCCAAGAGUGGUGAAGAGGAGGGGUACGAAUGCACAGGUCUACAGUCAGAGCAAUAUCCGUGGCCUUUGGAGGUUGGUUGAUGGUGUCAUCAGAUCCCCUCCUGGGCAUUAUCCAUGAGCAAUGAAAUGGCACACAAGCCAAGUUUUCUUGUCAUUUUAGUGACUUCAGUUAGACAGUACCACAGUAACCCACUCUCUCUGCUGUUAGUGUCAUGCUGUAAUGUAAAGUCAUGAGAUUAAUAUUAUAGAAAUUUGAAGAAGGUUUUCUGUCUCUUCUCCCACUUAGUGGACCAAAACACACACACACGCACGCACACAAACCAAACAAAAAACGCCCCCAAACCCAACAACAACAAAACCCCCAAAGCCCUUGGUAUGUAUGGUCAACCCCAUUGUAUAAAUUAACUUCCCUAUUGGAACUGUGUUCUUUAGUCGAAGUGACAGCAAUUCACACCGAUGACGUUCUUAGAAAUAGGUCUAUCUUUUGCACUAAGGUCCCCUGCCUCUUGGCACAUUGUUUUUCAAACUUUUUUCAGUAGCAGAAUCUACUUUUUUAGGGUGAGAAGUUAGACAAGGGCUUCACUAUUUAAAACAGGUGGAGUGGACCUUUUCCUGGAUGGAGUGAGAGCGAGCACCUCAGAUGCCCCCCGCUGGACCUGUCUCUUCUGCUGGCCGUCUCUACUGAAUCUCAUGGCUUUGUGGGGCAGCGGUUAAAAUCCACUGACAGAGCAUCUGCUACCGUCCGUUUCAAGUGCAGCCACUUCAUAUGCAGAUGGCACGUGGCUGCAGAUCUUCCUUGGGAUCAUCCCCGUAAAUUCAGCCCCAGCUGGAAAUGAUCGUGGGGGAAAACAUGGCGUCCUCCUUUCAUUGUCCUGUUCACCAGCAGUGGAAGCCCGGGCUUUCUGAGGAAGAAAGAGCUCGUAGACAUACUGAGGACACACGCAGUCUGAUGGCUCCAAAGGGAUGAAAUAGCACAAUAAAAUGAAACAAAAAACCCCAACAAACAAAACUCUGGGUAUUCCCAAUUUAAAUUGGCUCUGCAAUGGCUAAGACCCACCAUGAUUAUAUGAUCAUUAGUGGCACUGCUACUAAUUAUGAUGACCGCUGCUACUAUUUGUUAUGGGCUCAUUGUUUGCCACUUGUAUAUAAACAAAUACAUGUAUAUUUAUACAGAUAUUAAAUAUUUCAUAUAUUACACAAUAUUAUAUAUUCAUAUAUGUGUGUGUAUAUAUGAAUAUUGACAUAUAUAUUAUAUAUAGUCAUAUGUGUGUGUGUUCAUACCCUAGUUCUAAUCCAUGCCAAAAAACCCACAGACCUGCCUGAGAGAUAGAUAUUACUCCUAUUUCGGUUAAUGUACAAGGAAAGGGAGUUCCACAACGUUGAAGCGGCUUGUCCAGAGCGGAGUUGCCAGUAAGGGCAGAGGCAGGAUUGCCACAGGUGUCCGACUUCAAAGCCCUGAUGUGUCCUCAUCACCACACCGACCCUUGUGAGUAGAGGCCGGGCGAGCACCUGAGACACGGUGGCAUGGGCUCACGUGGUGGCAACACCGCUCACUUCUGUGACAAGCCAAGGGUCGGUAGCUGUUUUAGAUAUUUGAUCCUUACUGCAACUUUGGAUAGACUCACCCUCAAAGUGCCCUUUCCAGCGUGUGUCUUUUCCAAAUGCUACAUGUGGAGUUCCAUUUUUCCUCCCGUCAUCUUGCUAAGUUUUUUUUUAAAGAUUUUAUUUAUUUAUUUGCCAGAAAGAGAGAGAGCAAGCAGCAGAGGGAGAGGGAGACAGACGCGGGACUCGAUUCCAGGACCACGAGAUCAUGACCUGAGCUGAAGGCAGACGCUUCUCCUACUAAGCCACGCAGGUGCCCUCCUGCUAAGUUUUUAACCUUUACUUUUUCCCCCCUGCUGCUCCGCAGGUGAAGCUGCUUUUGUUGACUUGAGCUGGGCUCCCUUCCUGUAGCUCAUGCAGAGCUCGGCAGUCUCUAGCUGGGCAUGCCCUCCUUCCUCUGCUAGCGUGGUAGCUGUGGGACGGACACGUGUCCUAGGGACGGAGGCACAGCGAGCAGGCAGAGUGGACAGAGAACGAGAAGGGAUGGCCCAAGCACAGACAAUGACGUGUGAAUUUGUGAAACACUCCCCACCAGGCGUGCAGAACGCCUGGGCCCUUCCAUCCACUAACCUCUAACGUUGUUCUCAGAGGUGGGGAGAGGUCUAUCACAUCCCCACAAAAGGAAACGAGCUUGAUCCAACAAUUAAGGAUAUAAAUCAAUGGGCUUGUUCAAACUUCAUUCAUUCCAUGACACUUUGUUGAGCGCUUGAUAUGGACUAGGAAGGGAUCUAGGGAAUGGCACUGGGAUACAGCAAAAAAAAUCUUAACUGAUUAAUAACAAAGAAGCAAACUAGAGAGCAGAUCUUAAACAUUUUCACUGUGAAAAAGAGGUGGUAAUUAUGUGACAGGUUGGAGGUAUUAGCCAACACCAAUGGUCAUCAUUUUGUAAUAUGUAAAUGUAUCAAGUCAACUGGUCGUACACCUUAAACUUCUAUAAUGUUGUGAAUCCAUCACAUCUCUACACAGCUGGUCAGAAACCAAACAAGCAAACCACCACCACCACCACCACCAUCACCACAAAACGAUCUAAAUGCAGCUUUCAUUCUAGUAGAGGAAGACAGACAAUAAACAAAGUGAGAUAUAGCAUAAGUAAUAUGCUUGUUGGUGGCACACAGUGAAGCAGGAAAAGAGAUGGAAGUGGUUGGGGCUGGCAGGAGGAUGGCAUUGGAGCCGAGACUAGAAGGAAGGGAGGGGACAAACGAUGGGGAAAUCUAGGGGGAGAGCAUUUCAGGCAGAGGAAUCAGCAAGUGCAAAGGUCCUGAGGCAGGAGGGUAGCUACAGUGUUCACAGAAUAGCAGGGAGGCCAAUAUGGCUGGAGCUACGUGUAGCAGGAGAAGGGGUUGGAGAGAUAACUGGAGGCGCACGGGGCCUUAGAGUCACUGUCAGACCUUUGGCUUUUCCUCUGAACGACAGGAGAAGCCACUAGAGUUUUCCUCGCAGAGGAGUAGCAUUUUUCAGGACCAGCAGGGUGGAAAGCAGAUGGUGUGAGCACAAGGACAGAGGUAGGAUGAGCUGGCAAGGAGGCCAUCGCCGUCAUGCAUGUGGGUGAUGCCAAAGCUCGGACAAGGCGGGGAGCAGGGGAGGUGGGAGAAGGGGUCGGAUUCUACAUACAUUUUGAGGAAGAGUCACAUGGAUUUGCGGACAGAUUAGAUAAAGAAAGUGAAUUAUUUGAAGUCAUUUUUUUCUCCCUACCCAAAAGUUAUUUUAGCCAUUUUCAGGCCUAGAUAGGAAGCUAGCUGUGUUGUUUAUUGCCUUCGGUUAGAAGCUUCUUAUAUUCUUUUCAAUAAUGUUUUAACUUUUGAAAUGAUGCAAGUAAACCAUCAUUUUAUUCUUCUUAUAAAAAACCAUAGAGUGCAGACAGAAAACUCCCAUCUAUUUCUCUGCAGUCCUCCUUUUCCAAGAAAGAGAUGAUCCCUAUUAUGUUUGAUUCUUUCUGUGCAUGAACAUGUAAUCAAAUUUAGAGUUUUAUUCUCUUCUGAAAAUGGGAUCAUAUUGUUUACAAUGAUUUGUGCUCAGUAUGCCUCAGAGACCUUUCUAUGUUGGUGUGGAGAGGUCCACCUCAUUCUUCUAAAAUGUUUAGGGAGUCCUCCAAAAAUAUACCUUACUUUUUGACUCUUCUCUCCUAAGCAUGUCUAAAUUAGGGGAUCAAAGACGGGCAUCCACACACAUGUGCUGGGCCACAAAACAUCCACAAGAUGACAUUUUAAGGUUGACAGGGUGAGCCCAGUGAACAUAGCCCAUCUGUUCGAGAUGCUCUCCUGCUCUUGGAAAGCAUUCCUCACCCUGAGUCAUGUCCACUUUUGCAAUGGAAAACUCUGGGGGUAUUUCAUGCCCCUGGUUUCCCAACACCUCUCUCCUUAGCGUGUGUGGCUAGAGGAAGUUAAAGGACCCAGGGAAGCAGGUUGCCUGGCAUUUUAUGGUAAACACGUCUCCCCAGCCACCAUGCAAACAUUGGACUGGACAAGACUAAAUGAUGUUAGUGGCUGAAAAGAAUACUCUGAAUACGUCAUGAAGAGGUGGGAGGGAGCGCAAACACAUCCUAGUAGAAAACCAGUGCUGGGCCUCUUCGGAUAGGAAGUACUGUUUUAAUGCAAGAGGUGGUUGAAUUCGUGGACCAGGGUUUCCAGUGGUUGGGACCACUCUCCAAAUUUAGCAGCUGCCCUUCACUCUGCCCUUCCGGCCUCCAGGUAGGCAACUGGAACACAGUCAUGUCUUCCUCUGCUGUUCACCCACCCGUUUCAAGUUGACGGCAGGGACCUAGUCCCUCAGCUCUGCAUUACCUGUGCCGACGGACGGGAAGAAGGGUCUGCCCAGCUGGGUGGGCCCCUCAGGACAAGAGACGGGGAUAAAAUCUUCGUGAGAGGGGUAGAAGGUUUGCGGUUUAAGCAGGGAUGGGGCUAGGAGGGAGGGCCAGGCAGAGGUGAGAGCUCACGCCAGGCUCUGGGGGCUGGGGAGAGGAGGUGUAAGAAGUCAUGCCGGUGGGUAUUACCAAGCAAGAAUCCAAACAGCGUGAGAGCCUGGGAAGAGGGGUUGUGAUGAGAGAUUAUUAGAGAAACCAGCCAUUGACUGAUGCGGGGAUUUCUGGAAGGGUGAUUACUUUGGGGGAAAUGUUGACUCUGGACUUGCACACAGGAAGGAUGAGAAUACCCAGCAAGGGGGCAGGCAGAGUUGGAAACGUGCACUCGGAAGUCACUUCCAAGCCUCCUUAAAAUGAUAUGACCGGGUGAGGGCUCCAAAGCUGGGGGAGGAGCAAAGUCGCAUCAGAGUCACGCUUACACCAGCUGGCCUGCGAGGAGGUGGCCGGAGGCAGACUGAGCCAAGCAGCAGUGAGCGAGUCAGCUUGGCAGGUGUUCCCGGCUCCAUGCCCAAGGCAGAGCCCUGCACGGGGCUUGAACUCAUGACCCUGAGACCAAGACCUGAGCUGAGAUCCAGAGUGGGACACUUAACCAAAGGAGCCACCACAGUGCCCCUGGACCAGAGGUGGGCUUAGGAAGCACCCUUCUCACUGGUGGCUCCGAUGGAACUGGUCCCCAGAUGAACAUUCGAGAAGCCCUGGGAGGCAGUAAAAGCACCAUCUUGGACAGGCGUUCUUCAGAUAAUGUCAGCCGAAAUGCCUGCCUCCAGGGCUUGGGCAGGCCAUCUCCAGCUUCCAUGUGCUGCUCGGAUUGAGGAAAACCAGUUGGUUUCACCCCGGAAGCCUGCAGUCCCUUCCAGGAGCUCGUACAACAGAAGACUGAGGCAGAGGCCGGCCCUGCUGCAUAUAUUUCAGACAGUCGAUGGACAGGGAGGCCAUUCAUCCAUUCAAGAAACAGUCCACGACACCCCUGUGCGCCGUGUUUGCGUUGUGGGAAGAGAGGUGUGGGAAUAUGUAGUCCCAGGAGAAGACAUUCACGAAGGGUCAGAGGGGCCACUGGGGUGACCCGCCCAUGACAGAUGGAUGUACAGAGGAGGGCCCUAACCCAGGCAGCAAGAGUCCUCUGCCAGCGAAAGGGAAAGACGAAUACAUGUUCACUGAGCACUUACUAUGUGCUGAGCUUCGUGUGAAGAGCUUUGCAGGCUUUGUCCUGUUCGACCCUUGGAGUCACCGCCGAAGUUUGGGACCAUCACCUCCCUUUUCCAGAAUUUAUUUGGUGAUGUGAAAAAAGCAUUUAGAAAAGAUUUCAUGAGAGGUCACACGUGUUUCUUCAGUCCCUCAGAAGAUCAAAGCGGAAUGGAAUAGAACACUGUUCGUCUCCUGGUCCUUUGCGUCCUUCUUGUUUACUGUUCAGCACAGGGAUACUAUUUUGGAAUCUCAGGCAUGAGGGAUGGUACCGAACCUCAGGGAGGUGGCAUGACCUGCUCUGGGUCAAAUGGAAGAGCCAGAAAGAGCCUCUUCACUGAGGCAGUCCUUCCCAAAUCCUGCCCCUUGGACUGGUGCCAGGACAGGACAGAGUUUCCAUGGAAGCAUGCGGAAAUGAGACGAGGAAGGGCAAGGUAGUGAGGUUUUCACAUCACUAAAUUUGUUCCAUUUUAAGAACUGUCUUUUAUUCUAAAAUUAAGUACCUCUUAUUGUGAUGUUGGUAAACUCUCUCUCUCUCUUUUUGUUUUUACUGUUCCAUGAAAUCCGCCUGAGUGGGUCAGGCAGCCUCCCAAUCUUCUUGAUUAAUCACGUUGCUGUUUUCCCCCUGAGCCCCUAGCCCUGGGUAAAGUAGGAAAGGCACCCUCUUACAGAUCGGGCCAUUGUCCCCAAGUGUGGCUGUCACAUGCAAUUUUGGUAUCUGGCCUCCUGGUUUUUGGCUAAAACCCUCUCGGGCUGCUGUGUUUCAGAGAGUCACAGACUGGUGGGCUCACCAUGCAGGCAUGGAAAUGACUUGUUCAGUCUUCUGGUUUCUAAUUGUGAGUAAAUACGUCUUCAGUUGGAUUUGCUAAUUAUUGUGAUUUUUCGCGGUGUGGCGUGGGGGGAGGAGGUUGGAUCGGACGUUUCUAGCAAAGUGCCAUUGGCUAUAUUUGAAAGGCUGUAGCAAUUACUCGUUUUCUGCUUGCUUCUCCAUCUGGGUAGAAAGCAAGACUCAACCCAGACAGGUUAAUUAACUUGCCCACAUCACGUACCAGUGAGAGAGACUAGAAGCAGAGAGCUUCCUACUUCUAAAUAUUACUCAUCAACUUUAAAAUGUAAUCGUGGGAACGACGUGCAAGUUACCAAUGGAAAAAUCCACCCGGCUCUCUGGAAACACUGAGCAAAAAGACACAGCAGGAUCAGAGCGUUCUCAGAUACUUCCUAGCGGUGUGACCUUGACUCGUCGGUGAGCUGGGAGAGCCUCGACUGACUCAUCUGUAUGUUUGAGAUAAGAAUGCGUGAUGUGUCCCGCCAAGGAGUCAGGCUGAGAGUGUGAGUGCCGGCUCAGGAAGAGGACGGCCUGUGGCAUGCUCUCCGUGGUCAGCAGACGACGCUGUUGAGCAGCUAAGAAUGGCUUAUAGCUACUAGACAGAGACCUAAGCAUAGGAUCUUCAACACAUGAAAAGAAAAAAAACGAAGCCGAAGGUAGACUGCUGGUCUGUUGCUGUAAGAUGACAUCAGUGGCCUGGGCUGCUCUGUUUUUCUGCUUUGCCAUCCUUCCUGCAUGGCUUCCAAGUUCAAAGUUGCAAGAUAGCUGGUGAACUGUCACUCUAGGGUCUGAAUUCCAGGUGACAGCAGCAGCCCCCGCCUCCCCUAGAGCGUGUGAAAGAAGGCUGCGGAUCCAGACCCAGCCCUGAUGCAAGUGUUGCAUGAAAUGAGCACUUGCAGUCCGUUGCGGGCUGCAUUCGCUCUGUGUUCCCGCUACAGAAGAACACGGCCCAGAAUGCAGAACCACCCCCCUUCCCCAUCCCGAAGUGCUACUGGGAAGGACAGAAAGCGGAAGUGGACCCUGUUUGGUUCAUGUCAAAGGGAAGUUCGGGAACGACGAGAUUCCGGACGGCGCUGGGAGCGAUCGAGUCCGUUACCCUCCAUGCCUUUGCUGUCUGGGAGGGAAACCUCGUGUUGCGAAAACAGGCCACCACUAAACUCAGGCUGGAAAAUCCUAAUGCAGGCAGUUCCUCAAAAACUCACAGGCCUCCAGGCCAGUGGACAUCCCCCUGUUGUGGCUGGAGUAGUCCAGAGCUCAGUAAUCAAAAUAGUAUAUCACACAAAAAUCGAGGCCAGGGACCCUAUGUGCUUACCUCUGCUUUCCAGGGCCUCACACCCGGAGGUGCCUGAGCGGAGCUCUCAUUAUUAACUCCACCCCUGAAGACCUAGGGCCAGCCUCACGUGUGUCCUCGGGGGCUGUGUGUGCUGCCCAGCCCAGCCCAGCAUCGGGGCCUGGAGCCUAGAAGGACUGCCCGGGCUGGAGGCAUAUUUUUGAGCAAAAGUAGUUCCCCUGGUGAUUAUCGGUAACCUCCUGAACUCUAAUUCUGUGUAGACGCUUAGUACUCCACGCGAUUUUGCUCGUUUAAUCCUCCCCACAGCAGCGGGUAUUACAGAAUGCUCAUUCUACUGAAGAAGCAACAGAGGCUCAGAGAGGGUGAGUAAUUUGCCCAGAGUCACAAAGCUAGGGAAAAGGAGAAACUCGCUCAGAAUUACUAAACCCGGACAUAGAUUUUCCUGGAAAAUCACUGUGACGUCCUGUAAACGGAUUGUAAACCGUCCUUCAGGAAUCUUUAUUUCACUGAAUUCACUGAUUUGUAAACAGCCCACCA